rnacentral:rRNA from 1 species
GACGAACGCUGGCGGCGUGCCUAAUACAUGCAAGUAGAACGCACAGUUUAUACCGUAGCUUGCUACACCAUAGACUGUGAGUUGCGAACGGGUGAGUAACGCGUAGGUAACCUGCCUGGUAGCGGGGGAUAACUAUUGGAAACGAUAGCUAAUACCGCAUAAUAUUGAUUAUUGCAUGAUAAUUGAUUGAAAGAUGCUAUUGCAUCACUACCAGAUGGACCUGCGUUGUAUUAGCUAGUAGGUGAGGUAACGGCUCACCUAGGCGACGAUACAUAGCCGACCUGAGAGGGUGAUCGGCCACACUGGGACUGAGACACGGCCCAGACUCCUACGGGAGGCAGCAGUAGGGAAUCUUCGGCAAUGGACGAAAGUCUGACCGAGCAACGCCGCGUGAGUGAAGAAGGUUUUCGGAUCGUAAAGCUCUGUUGUAAGAGAAGAACGGGUGUGAGAGUGGAAAGUUCACACUCUGACGGUAUCUUACCAGAAAGGGACGGCUAACUACGUG